CAAUAGCGUAUAUUAUUGAUGUUGCAGUUGAAACGUUCGUAGUCGAACUUUAUGUGCUUGGAUGUUACCGCGUGCAAACGUAGUAAUAUUUCCAGCACAAAUUGUGCAAAAUGACCGCGCAUGCUUCAUGUGUCGGCUCUUUUUGCAUCUUACUUUGAGUGAAUCGGCGUGUUCCACGCAGGCAUGUGCCUUGAACGAUUUACCAUAGCAUAAACAGAGUAUGGAAUUGUCUUCUUGUUUGUUCAAGGACAUUUCCGAUACUGAUAAGAACGGUUGAGGGCAUUCGUAUUCAACUGCCAGAGGUGAAAUUCUUUGAUUAGUUGAGGACGAACUAUUGCGAAAGCAUCUGCCAAGGACGUUUCUUUUGA
rnacentral:rRNA from 1 species